ensembl:lncRNA
UGCACAUCUGAGAGCGAGGAGGAAAUAGAUGGUGAAAAGAUGGCGUGAACACUAAAGGUGUGAGUAACACUGAUAUCUGUGAAGUGACAGAUCGAUAAAUACUGAAGUUUUACAUGAGGGCCAUGGUGAGGAAAGCUUAAUGGUUAAAAGCAGCUGGAUAAAAUCACCUGAAGACCAGAUAAACUGAGGUAACAAGUUUAAGGAUGAGCAGUCGUGAGCACGGAGCCGAUCUUUUAAUCAGCUCAGCAGGAAGCGGCAGCAUCAGAGACGGACGGACGGUGAGGUCAUGGGAGCAGUAUUCACAUUGUUCCUACAGGCAGAUUAAACUCUACAACUUAAAAGUAUUAAUAUGUGUAUCAGUGAUUCCUGAGAUUAGGGACAAAACAGGUUUUAAUUUUCUAAAAUAUAUUUUUUGAAAAAACAAAACAAAAACAUAUUUACAUAUUUACUUGUGGGGAUAGGUUAAUUGGAUAACCAAAAUUGUCACUAGGUGUGAAUGUGCAAAUGAAUGUGAGUGCGAACGGUUGUUUGUCCCUGUGUGUUAGCCUUGCGACAGAGUGGCGACCUGUCCAGGGUGUACCCCGCCUCUCGCCCUAUGACAGCUGGGAUAGGCUCCAGCGCCCCCCGCGACCCUGAAAAGGAUAAGCGGAAGUGAAUGGAUGGAUGGAUGGAUAUUUACAUAUAAUUGUUACACAAAGUUUUGGCUGUCUCACCAUGUUUUGGUACAAUCUCCCAGGUGUAAUAUUUUUUAAUAAUUUAUAUUUUUGCUGGAGGAGUGCAAGGUUUUUGUCAACACCAUCAGACACAAACAAAUGCAAAAAUAUAUAUUUUAGGUUGUUUCAGCUAUUUUGACUAUUAGCAGCAUAUUGUUCUAUUGUUUAUGCACAUAUGUUUUCAAACGAAUUAUACUAUGUUUAAAAGUAAGAUUGUUUUGGCUUUUUAUUAGUAGCGUUACAGUCAUACAUAUUUUCAGAAAAGAAACAAUCCUAUUUAGCAGCAUGCAAAUGACACAUUGAGAAAAUUACGUAUUUUUAUUGGAAGAUCAUGAGGGAGGAUAAUAUACGGUUCUUCAAAAGACAAAAAUAAACAAAGAAAUCCAUAUUAUGGAGUUGACAAGGUGCUGACGGUGGUGACACACUAAUAGAAAACAAAAUAUUAUUUCUUUCAAAAUGACCAUUAAAGUUUAACAACUUAUGUAAUAUCAGACACAUCAUAACAAUUCUGUUUUUGCACAUGUCAAGUUCUACAUCUUAAUAGUUCACCAGCAAGUAGCUGCCUACUACUCUUUGAUACCUAAAGUACUCUGGUUGUGUGUUUGCUUGUUUCCAAAACCUUCCCUUCUCCCUUUUUUCUCUUCCUUUCAGAUCACCGAUGUUCUUUAUUUUUCCCUCUUUCACUCUCUUUCUAGAUCUUUCCCUUUCCUUUAUGAGAAACUCUUUCUUCAACUCAGGCUGGCUGUUAAUUUUUUUCUCCUUAUUUGAUCAUCCCUGUUCCUCCUCUUUCGUUCCUCUGACAGGUUCCCCUUUGCAAUUCUAGCCUGAAAUGUACCAUUUUGUAAUUACUAUAAUUUUUCUGAACCUUAUGCAUUUAUACAGAUUAAGGAUGAAUAUUCACAACACAAUUAUGUAUUAAGCAAUAGAGAUGCUAUCCAGUCUUUAAGUCUGAUGUCAUUAGCUGUUUCCAGGUCCAAACUCCGCUGCAGAUCCCAAAGUCAAAGGAACUCUGCGGCAUCACUGAGAGUUACAAACUGUCUAAAUUCUUUC